rnacentral:rRNA from 1 species
CUAGAACGCAAUCGGAAUCAGGCGAAAGGUCUGCGCAGCGAAUGGCCGCUUGCGAGGUGCUGCAUGGUUGUCGUCAGGCUCGUGCCGUGAGGUGUCGGGUUAAGUCCCAUAACGAGCGCAACCCCUACUGCUAGUUGCCAGCGGGUCAUGCCGGGGACUCUAGCGGAACUGCCAGCGUAAGCUGCGAGGAAGGUGGGGAUGACGUCAAAUCAGCACGGCCCUUACGUCCAGGGCUACACACGUGUUACAAUGGCCAGUACAGAGGGCAGCCACCCGCGAGGGGGCGCUAAUCCUAAAAGCUGGUCCCAGUUCGGAUCGGAGUCUGCAACCCGACUCCGUGAAGCUGGAUUCGCUAGUAAUCGCGCAUCAGCCACGGCGCGGUGAAUACGUUCCCGGGCCUU